CGGGUGAGUAACGCGUGAGGAACCUGCCUCAAAGAGGGGGACAACAGUUGGAAACGACUGCUAAUACCGCAUAAGCCCACGGCUCGGCAUCGAGCAGAGGGAAAAGGAGCAAUCCGCUUUGAGAUGGCCUCGCGUCCGAUUAGCUAGUUGGUGAGGUAACGGCCCACCAAGGCGACGAUCGGUAGCCGGACUGAGAAGUUGAACGGCCACAUUGGGACUGAGACACGGCCCAG
rnacentral:rRNA from 1 species